UUCUCUUUAUGUGGAGAAAAACUUGCCCCUAGUGAGUUUUGUAGAAUGAUAGACAUAAAAACACUCUAAUGGGGGCUUGCUGCUCCUUGUCUGCAAUCCGAACAAAAUCCAAGAUAUGAAGCUUCUAUGUUGCAUUUGUGUUUUGAAAUAUGUAGGGA